GCCCAGCAAGCGGAAGAGAGGAUGCUAGGGCAAACAAAGUAGUAAAACUUCCAGAAGCUUUGGCGAUGGACGACAGUAGAUCCUUUCAACCCCGAUUAGGUGCUUGAGGCGAUGAGCAGACAAAACUUUGGUGCCUGGCUGUUCUUCCGACUUGAGUGUGUCAAUUUGAUCUUUCCCUGUUGGACUUUCUCUCUGAUAAAGCAUUGGAUAUCCAGUUCAGUUCGCUGGUGGCAGUGUUUGGCUUCAGCAGACAAUCUGAAACAGUUGUCUGCUUCUUUGACUUCCAGAAUAUUAUAAUCGGCAAACUGUUUGCUUUUUGAAGAGAAUUAGGAACCUCUUGAACGUGUAAGAAUCUCUUAGAAUCAAGCUUUUCGUGAAUCAAAGUUUGCAGUUGGUCUGGAUCCAAGUAACCACGGUUUGAUGAGUUAACGAGUUGAUAAUGGUUACCAUGAUUUUUUUUUUGAAAUUCCUCAGAUACACACACCCAAAUCUUAAGAUUUGAGAGUAGAUGGAUAUUUCGAUCUUAAUAUUUGGGUGUGUGUACCUGAGGGGAUUCGACACUGAAGAUUUUGCAUUGCAAUAUAUGAAGGCGUUGUAUUCUAGAUCAUUAUUUCAAGGAUUUGAAGAAUAUGGUGACUUUUUGGCCUUUAGAAUGCAUGAUUUAGGUCAUGAUCUUGCAUUUGCAGUGGCACAAAGUGAUUGCUUUGUUGUGAAUGUUCGUAGCAAGAACAUAUCUUAGGUGAUUUGACAUCUCUCAAUCUCCGACAAGGCUGUACUUGACCAAAAGGUUCCUAAUUCUCUUCAAAAAGCGAACAGUUUGAGGACUAUAAUUUUCCCAUUUGAAGCCCAAGGCCCUGCUAGUGAAUCCUUUAUCAAUACAUGCAUCUCUACAUAUGGGUCCGUUGGUCUAACUGCUUUUGAAGCUGCUGCAGACGGAUACUUGGUAACCCAGACAAUAUGAUCCUGAGGAAGGAAGUGGCAAAUAGGAACUGUUCCUGGCGUAACAUUUAGCACUUGAAGAGCCAAAUGCUUUGGGUUCCAUGCCGAGGUAUCUUUGUGACAUACCACUACUGUAUUAACUUUCUGGCAUUCCAAAAUUCCAUAAAUUCUUUGAACCACUGCUAAUGGUGGUAUUAUCAAUGAAACAUCCAUUCCUCUUUUGUAUCUUUCCUAUUGAAUAAUAAAUGGCAUCUCUCCACCUUUUGAUCUUCCCACCCCGAGCUAUAAUUUUCCAUCCUUCUGCUAAAUAUAUGUGAAAGUUAAUAUGACCGUGCAACAUGUGCAGGAUGCUAAAGUAACACUGCUUGGUGUAAUACCAAGUAUUGUAUUUGUACGUGGGUGAAAGCGGGCUAUGAUGGGUCUGCCAUUCGGCAAGUAUACGUGCCUUUUGGAAAAUUGUGAAGAAAAUAUACUUCUUUCUAUUGAAACAAAAAGAAAGUAGACUAUAAAACACUGAAAUAAAUAUGCCUUUAUAUAGAAAUUCCACUUUACACUGGAGUAGAAUAUCUGUUCUGUACCUUCUUGGAUGUUUUGAACUGUAGCUAUCUUUGUUAACAUGAUAAUAAAACAUGUAAAAUCGAACAUGUUGCUUGGUAUCCAAACUCUCUAUCAACCUUACUUAUGCUCUUUCUAUUAUAUUCUAUGCUCUUUCUAUUACAGGCUGUAGCAGGAUUAGCAUAUGGUAGACAAAUAGCCGCAAGGGCCAAGGCUGAAGCUACAAACUUAUGAGAAGUCUGCUUUGCAAUUUUGCUUUAAUAUUUUACAUUUUCUGUUUUGUGCAAUAUGCAACAUGUUGCAUGUAGAUUGACCAAUUUGUUUGGCAAAGCAUUUAAAAAGUAGCUGCUAUAUGGGGCAUGGCUUAGGUAAAGCCAUUUUCCAAGGGCUUUUCGUCAAGUAUCCAAGUGCCUUCAAAUGUGGAUUUUAAAUGUGUUUUUUUAAUGAAAUAAGGGAUGACGAGUUCAAGAGGAAAGAUACUGAUAAUAAAUUUGUCUCUGCUGUGAGUGGUCUCUGAUUUAUCUAAUCUAAUAGCUGCUUUGGCAGACUAAUAGAUAUUUAUGUCAUAGUUUUUGUUCAAUAUUUAAUUGUACUACCUAUGUAUUGAAAUAAAAUAGAGGGUAAAGUUGCUGGUGUUAGAUGUUAAUUGAUGUCAAAUUUUGUGAGUAAUUAUUAAAAAAUGAUACUGAUCCCAUUUCUAUUUUAUUGUGUGAAAUUUAUUCAACCUUCAUUCAAGUUUCAGGAUAAAGCUCCUUAUGCAGAGAAAGCGGAGAAGGGAAAAGUGAUUACAAUAAGAAUAUGGAGGGUUACAUAAGAAAUUGAUACCUACUGAAAUUGAAAGCAAUCUUUGCAAUUAUGGAUGUUUACUGUAAUUUUUUUUUGGAUUACAACUUUUAGUUCUUCUAUAUAAUAGUAGGGAAUCCAUGUGGAAGAGGAAGAAUAAUCUAAUGAGAAGUCCAGUUCUGAAGUGAAUGAUGAUGAGGAAGAUGAAGAGAAAACUGGAGAGGCGAAGAUGUGGACCCAGUGAUAGAGGUCACAUGUUCAACUUAGUUGCAGCGUACAUCUUGCCUGUCCCCGACCCCGACCAUUACGAGGAACUUUGUGCACCAAGUCUCUUACAGUAAGUAUUUGUAAUUUUAUAAUCUUGCAGCAAGUGGUUUCUGCAGAAAAUUGGUCAUGAAGGGCUAAACAACUUGCUGAUGGCAUAUAAGGACAAAUCAGCUUAUGCUUUAUGUGCAUUUUCGUUUGCUCUAGGCACCAAUGUUGAGCCCACUACUUUUCUUGGGAAAACUCUGGGGAAGGUAGUUCAUGAUUUUGGAUGGGAUCCAAUCUUUCAGCCUGAUGGCUUUGAACUAACAGAUGCCAAAGGAGCAAAAGAAUAAGAUCUCUCACCGUUCCAAGGCUCUUGAUCUGGUGAAAACCCAUUUCGCUGAAGCUGGAUAUGUUUUUGAAAACAGAUGCAGCUUCUAAGAGCCUAUAGGUUUUUUUACAGUUGCAUUACCAAUGUUGUUGGUGUUACCGGCCUUUCUUCUGUGUUCUUCAUUCAAUGGUCGUUUUCUGUCAGUAAAGAGAGAACAUGAUGUAUAGAGGUCAAUGAUUUUGGAUUACUUUACAACCAUGUGAUAUCAUCGAGGGUGAGACUAGCUCAUCUCAUGCAGUUUCCAGGUAAUUAGUCGACCUUUCUUCAUUGACUUUGUAACUUUAAUUGAGGUGAAAAUUGCCAUAACAAGCUCGACUGGCCGGUCAGUGUACUUUUAUUUGUUCUGCCUUUUUUAGUAUUGUUCAUUUUGGAUCUAGUGGUUGACCAAUAUAUGUAUGUUAUCUAUUUGGUA